UACAGAGGUCUCAAGCGUUGUUCGGAUUCAUUGGGCGUAAAGGGCGCGUAGGCUGCGGGGCAAGCCGGGUGUGAAAUCUCAGAGCUCAACUCUGAAACUGCACUCGAUACUGCUUUGCUUGAGGACUGGAGAGGAGAUUGGAAUUCACGGUGUAGCAGUGAAAUGCGUAGAUAUCGUGAGGAAGACCAGUGGCGAAGGCGGAUCUCUGGACAGUUCCUGACGCUGAGGCGCGAAGGCCAGGGGAGCAAACGGG
rnacentral:rRNA from 1 species